rnacentral:rRNA from 1 species
GAUGAACGCUGGCGGCGUGCUUAACACAUGCAAGUCGAACGGAGCUUAGAAGGAAGCUUGCUUUCAUUUAAGCUUAGUGGCGGACGGGUGAGUAACGCGUGAGCAACCUGCCCUCGAGUGGGGAAUAACAUCGAGAAAUCGGUGCUAAUACCGCAUAAUGUCGAGAGACCGCAUGAUCUUUCGACCAAAGGAUUUAUUCGCUUGAGGAUGGGCUCGCGUCCGAUUAGCUAGUUGGUGAGGUAACGGCCCACCAAGGCUUCGAUCGGUAGCCGAACUGAGAGGUUGAUCGGCCACAUUGGGACUGAGACACGGCCCAGACUCCUACGGGAGGCAGCAGUGGGGAAUAUUGGGCAAAUGGGCGAAAGCCCUGACCCAGCAACGCCGCGUGAAGGAUGAAGGUCUUCGGAUUGUAAACUUCUUUGAUUGCGGAAGAAUAAAAU